UGGUGGAGCGAUUUGUCUGGUUAAUUCCGAUAACGAACGAGACUCUGGCCUAUUAAAUAGUUCGCCGAUUCCGAUCUGUGGCGUUAACUUCUUAGAGGGACAAGUGGCUUUUAGCCACGCGAGAUUGAGCAAUAACA
rnacentral:rRNA from 1 species